UGGGGAAUUUUGGGCAAUGGGCGAAAGCCUGACCCAGCAACGCCGCGUGAAGGAUGAAGUAUUUCGGUAUGUAAACUUCGAAAGAAUAGGAAGAAUAAAUGACGGUACUAUUUAUAAGGUCCGGCUAACUACGUGCCAGCAGCCGCGGUAAUACGUAGGGACCAAGCGUUGUUCGGAUUUACUGGGCGUAAAGCGCGUGUAGGCGGGUCGUUAAGUUGGGGGUGAAAUCCCGAGGCUCAACCUCGGAACUGCCUUCAAAACUGGCGACCUGGACUCAAGUAGAGGCAAGUGGAAUUGCGAGUGUAGAGGUGAAAUUCGUAGAUAUUCGCAGGAACACCAGUGGCGAAGGCGACUUGCUGGACUUGUAGUGACGCUGAGACGCGAAAGCGUGGGGAGCAAACAGGAUUAGAUACCCCGGUAGUCCCUGAGCGGGCUGGCAAGGCGCAU
rnacentral:rRNA from 1 species